UUAAGUUCAGCGGGUAGUCCUACCUGAUUUGAGAUCAAACAUUCAAAGAGCUGUCCUCACCGAGGAGAGACCUUUUGUAAGCCCCAGUGAACCCCCAUCUCUGAAGGUUACCUGAUGUAAAACCACAAGCGUAGAUAAUUAUCACACCUGUGAUGCCACCAGACACUGGCAAGCUGAUUCAUUUAAGGGGAGCUGACUAC
rnacentral:misc_RNA from 1 species